rnacentral:rRNA from 1 species
AGAGUUUGGAAUCAUGGCUCAGGACGAACGCUGGCGGCGUGCCUAAUACAUGCAAGUCGAACGAACUCUGGUAUUGAUUGGUGCUUGCAUCAUGAUUUACAUUUGAGUGAGUGGCGAACUGGUGAGUAACACGUGGGAAACCUGCCCAGAAGCGGGGGAUAACACCUGGAAACAGAUGCUAAUACCGCAUAACAACUUGGACCGCAUGGUCCGAGUUUGAAAGAUGGCUUCGGCUAUCACUUUUGGAUGGUCCCGCGGCGUAUUAGCUAGAUGGUGGGGUAACGGCUCACCAUGGCAAUGAUACGUAGCCGACCUGAGAGGGUAAUCGGCCACAUUGGGACUGAGACACGGCCCAAACUCCUACGGGAGGCAGCAGUAGGGAAUCUUCCACAAUGGACGAAAGUCUGAUGGAGCAACGCCGCGUGAGUGAAGAAGGGUUUCGGCUCGUAAAACUCUGUUGUUAAAGAAGAACAUAUCUGAGAGUAACUGUUCAGGUAUUGACGGUAUUUAACCAGAAAGCCACGGCUAACUACGUGCCAGCAGCCGCGGUAAUACGUAGGUGGCAAGCGUUGUCCGGAUUUAUUGGGCGUAAAGCGAGCGCAGGCGGUUUUUUAAGUCUGAUGUGAAAGCCUUCGGCUCAACCGAAGAAGUGCAUCGGAAACUGGGAAACUUGAGUGCAGAAGAGGACAGUGGAACUCCAUGUGUAGCGGUGAAAUGCGUAGAUAUAUGGAAGAACACCAGUGGCGAAGGCGGCUGUCUGGUCUGUAACUGACGCUGAGGCUCGAAAGUAUGGGUAGCAAACAGGAUUAGAUACCCUGGUAGUCCAUACCGUAAACGAUGAAUGCUAAGUGUUGGAGGGUUUCCGCCCUUCAGUGCUGCAGCUAACGCAUUAAGCAUUCCGCCUGGGGAGUACGGCCGCAAGGCUGAAACUCAAAGGAAUUGACGGGGGCCCGCACAAGCGGUGGAGCAUGUGGUUUAAUUCGAAGCUACGCGAAGAACCUUACCAGGUCUUGACAUACUAUGCAAAUCUAAGAGAUUAGACGUUCCCUUCGGGGACAUGGAUACAGGUGGUGCAUGGUUGUCGUCAGCUCGUGUCGUGAGAUGUUGGGUUAAGUCCCGCAACGAGCGCAACCCUUAUUAUCAGUUGCCAGCAUUAAGUUGGGCACUCUGGUGAGACUGCCGGUGACAAACCGGAGGAAGGUGGGGAUGACGUCAAAUCAUCAUGCCCCUUAUGACCUGGGCUACACACGUGCUACAAUGGAUGGUACAACGAGUUGCGAACUCGCGAGAGUAAGCUAAUCUCUUAAAGCCAUUCUCAGUUCGGAUUGUAGGCUGCAACUCGCCUACAUGAAGUCGGAAUCGCUAGUAAUCGCGGAUCAGCAUGCCGCGGUGAAUACGUUCCCGGGCCUUGUACACACCGCCCGUCACACCAUGAGAGUUUGUAACACCCAAAGUCGGUGGGGUAACCUUUUAGAACCAGCCGCCUAAGUGGGGACAGAUGAUUAGGGUGAGUCUACUACAAGAGUGAUGAUACACGCGAGA